AUGCUCCGCUAGAUUCUCAGUCAGGCCAAGAAGCAUCUGAGCUUGAUCCCCCUCUUUGUAUUUAUUGGAGCUGGAGGUACUGGAGCAGCACAAUUUGUCUUGCAUCUGGCAUCAUUCAAUCCAGAUGUUAGCUGGGACAGAAAGAACCCAGAGCCCUGGAACAAAUGGGGUCCCAAUGAUCAAUACAAAUUUUACUCAAUGAAUGUAGAUUACAGCAAACUGAAGAAAGAAGGUCCAGAU
rnacentral:lncRNA from 1 species